UACGUAGGGCGCAAGCGUUGUCCGGAAUUAUUGGGCGUAAAGAGCUCGUAGGCGGUUUGUCGCGUCUGCUGUGAAAACCUAAGGCUCAACCUUGGGCUUGCAGUGGGUACGGGCAGACUAGAGUGCGGUAGGGGUGACUGGAAUUCCUGGUGUAGCGGUGGAAUGCGCAGAUAUCAGGAGGAACACCGGUGGCGAAGGCGGGUCUCUGGGCCGUAACUGACGCUGGAGGAGC
rnacentral:rRNA from 1 species